UCUCGGGUUAUAAAAACGGCAGUCAAGGUCGCCGCGUCAUUCAUUAUUUGAAUUUUGUCUCGAGAAAUUAGUUUUUUAUUACGAUCUCUGACGUGUCGAAUAAUUGGAUAUUUAAGCAUCGUAACCGUUAUCUCUAAAAUUAGUGUGAUCCUUGCAUAGCGUUCUCUCGAAUAUAACAAAUAUAUCGUGUCAGUGCUUAUCGCCCGCAAACUGGGGUUCGACGUUUGGGUCACCAAAUUGGAAGUUUUUAUCCAACGCUUUCACCCCAACGACGAGAGUGCUCUCCGCCGGGUUUUGUAUUACCCGUUCCUACCGCCUCUGAUCGAUAGCGGAAUCUUGCCACGCGAUUCCCGGGAUCACUACCUGCACGGCGAGACGCAGCAGAGUACCUGAGCCGGACUGCAUUAGAGUUUGUGUGAAUUAAGUGCUCAACCCCGCCCAUAUAUUUUUUUUUUCAUCUACCUCACCGAGUCUAAUAAAUCUUUUCAAGGCAU